GGCCCAAAUAUGAAGUAGAGUAGAUUAGAAGGAUCAUCUGACCCUACUGAACCAUUCUACUUCGAGUUUGUGCCC
rfam:Haemonchus contortus, ISE/inbred ISE, WGS project CAVP01000000 data, contig: Hcontortus_40723